ACAACAAGGCCACGAUUCAGUGUAAAUGAACUGUAAAUGUUGUAUACAUUGAAGCCUUUGUAUUCGCCACUCUGUGAACUUCACAAGUCCUCUCCACCCGAGUCGCUCUUGUUCGCUCUUAACGCCACGACACACACAUAUCCAACAAUACUGAGUGUGGGAACAGACUCGCUGCACGCCCAAACCGUUUCCCAGCCUCUCCCGUCCCGUCCGUCCCCCUACCCAAACCUUAUUAGGAAACUAGGAGCAACAUGGAUAAUUAUAAAACUCCUGAUACGAUGAGUUCAAAACACAGACUGACACAAAGAGACAUCUGGAGGAGGAAGUGGCUUCUUAAAUGUCAGGCCGGUUUCAUAUUUCCACACACACUGAAUAUCUCCAAACCUUGUUUACAAAUGAAUAUAGUGUGUAUUAUAUAAACAUAUGAUGUAUAUUUAAUGUAAGUAGUCUUGAUCAAAAUGAGGCCUUGUGUCUUUAAUCUAGUACGUCUCAGUCACGAUUGAUGUUUGAUGCCGUAAUGAUGACAGUAUUAUGCUCAAAGCAACUCUCUAGUUUAAUAAGUGUUGUUUAAUCACGGAUUAACAGACUAAUCACACUGGUCGAACAUUUUGCUGGCUCCUAGUGGCCGAAGCUAGAAGUGUUAGGAGUGGUGGUGGUGUAGUGGUCUAAGCACAUAACUGGUAAUCUGGUAAUCAGGAGGUCGCUGGUUUGAUCCCCACAGUCACCACCAUUGUGUCCUUGAGUAAGACACUUAACUCCAGGUUGCUCCGGGGGGAUUGUCCCUGUAAUAAGUGCACUGUAUAAUACAUUGGUACUCAGAAGGUUGCUGGUUUGAUCCCCACAGUCACCACCAUUGUGUCCUUGAGUAAGACACUUAACUCCAGGUUGCUCCGGGGGGAUUGUCCCUGUAAUAAGUGCACUGUAUAAUACAUUGGUACUCAGAAGGUUGCUGGUUUGAUCCCCACAGUCACCACCAUUGUGUCCUUGAGUAAGGCACUUAACUCCAGGUUGCUCCGGGGGGAUUGUCCCUGUAAUAAGUGCUCUGUAUAAUACAUUGGUACUCAGAAGGUUGCUGGUUUGAUCCCCACAGUCACCACCAUUGUGUCCUUGAGUAAGGCACUUAACUCCAGGUUGCUCCGGGGGGAUUGUCCCUGUAAUAAGUGCACUGUAUAAUACAUUGGUACUCAGAAGGUUGCUGGUUUGAUCCCCACAGUCACCACCAUUGUGUCCUUGAGUAAGACACUUAACUCCAGGUUGCUCUGGGGGGAUUGUCCCUGUAAUAAGUGCUCUGUAUAAUACAUUGGUACUCAGAAGGUUGCUGGUUUGAUCCCCACAGUCACCACCAUUGUGUCCUUGAGUAAGGCACUUAACUCCAGGUUGCUCCGGGGGGAUUGUCCCUGUAAUAAGUGCUCUGUAUAAUACAUUAGUACUCAGAAGGUUGCUGGUUUGAUCCCCACAGUCACCACCAUUGUGUCCUUGAGUAAGGCACUUAACUCCAGG